rnacentral:lncRNA from 1 species
GGGGCGAGCGCCUUCGCGGAAAACUCCAAAGUACCCUCUGUGGAGCCUUGUUGAGUAUCUUCAAACCUUCAGAGGGACCUUUUAUCAGCGACCCAUGCCGCAGUUUACAGAAGAACGCUUUGAGUCUUUGGAAAUGAUGGUUCUGACUCUGAGUUGGAAACUGGAACGCACACAACAGAUGGGAGGCGUUGAAGGAAACAGAAAGCCCCACUUUGGCUGGCGUGCUUAGGUGCCUCUCGGGAAGCUGGAGACCACCCUCCCCCAUUCCAGCAAACGCUCCAUUGAGGAACCUACUGCGUGCCAGGUCCUGGGGAGCUUAGCGUCUGAUGAAGGAUACAACAACAAAAGACUGGAAAUUCAGAAGCAUGAGGGGACCUCCCCCCUCGAGGGAGAACCAGAGAUGGCUUCACAGAGCAGACGUUUGAACUGGGCCUUGGAGGAUGGAUGAGUGGAAUUUGGCCCAGUGGAGAAAGUCAUAGCAGCAGGAGAUAAGAUUGUAAGGGUCAGGUGGUGGGGCUGGAUAAUGCGAAUCUUGACUGUCAGACACAGACACCUGCCAUCUAAUUAGUACGCGAGGGAUAAAUUUUGGACUCCGCAGGAUAAGGACAAGGCUACACAAUGGCUUAGAACAGUUAAUCGGGCAACAGUUGGAAAGGGCCUUUGCCUCAAAAUUAUGUUUGCCCUGUCUUGUGUGAAUGCCUAUUCAGAUGCAUUAUUUGAAAAAUAAAUAAAC